AUGCCAAAAGUUCCUCCCGUAUAUUGUAUAAAAUGUUCUUUAGGAAGCGUGGACCAUCUCUUAAUAGAAUAGAACCACUAAAUUAGGGUUUAAAUCACAGUUUUAAGUUUCAAUGAAGCCAACCAUGGCGAGUGAAGAGCUCCUCAAACCCUUCUACCAGAGAGCUACCGAAGCCGAGGAACGGCUAUCCAGACUAGAAGCUCUUCUAGCGGGCAAUAAAGAUGCUGGAAAUCAGGAACUUUCCCAGUUAAUAAGUGAAUUACAGGCAAAGUUAGAAGAUGCAAAUGCUGAGACACUUUCAGAGCGAGAAAAGGCUAAGAAGCUGGCCAUGGAAAAUGAAAAACUCAAAUAUCGCAUUGCCCAUCUUGUCCAAGCAGUUAAGGUGGCUGAUCAGAAAUUAGAGUGCAUGAGAGGAAAACAUGCUUGAGUGUGUUUGACCCAUCAAUAAUACUGCUCAAAUGAUAGCAGUGGUGUUCUUGGACAAUGAAAAGGUGCAAAAUGAUCAAAACAACCAGCAAUGGCGCUCCAUGGAUGUUUAUUGUGAUGUUUCCGAAGCAACAGCACAGACAUCAUCAAAAUUUGAGACCAUGAGAUUGUGAGUUUGGACCAUGAGAUUGUUCACAUGUUUCUUGUUGAAGUGGUCUGAUUAUACCUGUACAAUGCAAGGCAUCUGUAAACACUUUCCUUUCGGAUUUCUAUAAUCAUUUUGAUUGAUUGGUACUUAGCAUGAACAAAAGGCCAUGAAUGAAAAUGCCCUUUACUUUGAAAUAAA